rnacentral:rRNA from 1 species
AAUAUUGGACAAUGGGGGCAACCCUGAUCCAGCCAUGCCGCGUGUGUGAAGAAGGUCUUCGGAUUGUAAAGCACUUUAAGUUGGGAGGAAGGGCUUUAGGUUAAUACCCUGAAGUUUUGACUUUACCAACAGAAUAAGCACCUACUAACUCUGUGCAAUCAGCCACGGUAAUACAGAGGGUGCAAGCGUUAAUCGUAAUUACUGUGAGUAAAGCGCGCGUAGGUGGUUCAGUAAGAUGGGUGUGAAAUCCCCGGGCUUAACCUGGGAACUGCUUUCAUAACUGCUGAGCUAGAGUACGGUAGAGGGUAGUGGAAUUUCCUGUGUAGCGGUGAAAUGCGUAGAUAUAGGAAGGAACACCAGUGGCGAAGGCGACUACCUGGACUGAUACUGACACUGAGGUGCGAAAGCGUGGGGAGCAAAC